rnacentral:rRNA from 1 species
CUACGGGAGGCAGCAGUGGGGAAUCUUGGGCAAUGGGCGAAAGCCUGACCCAGCGACGCCGCGUGGGGGACGAAGGCCUUCGGGUCGUAAACCCCUGUUCUGGGGGAAGAACCAGGUCGUAGCGAAUAGCUAUGGCCUGCUGACGGUACCCCAGGAGAAAGCCACGGCUAACUGCGUGCCAGCAGCCGCGGUAAUACGCAGGUGGCAAGCGUUGCCCGGAAUCACUGGGCGUAAAGGGUGCGUAGGCGGCAAGGCAAGUCGCAGGUCAAAGCCNCGGGGCCUCAACCCCGGAAGGGCCUGCGAUACUGUUUUGCUUGAGGGCCGGAGAGGCUGGCGGAAUUCCCGGUGUAGGGGUGAAAUCCGUAGAUAUCGGGAGGAACACCGGUGGGGAAGCCUGCCAGCUGGACGGAUCCUGACGCUGAGGCACGAAAGCGUGGGGAGCAAACCGGAUUAGAUACCCGGGUAGUCCACGCCGUAAACGAUGGGUGCUAGGUCUGGGGAGGAAACUCUCUGGGCCGCAGCUAACGCGUUAAGCACCCCGCCUGG